UGGUUUGUGUCUACUUUUUUUUUUUUGCAGUUUAUUUUAAAGCUCCUGUUGUGAAAUGAACAUCAUGAAGGCAAAAAAAUUCAUAUAAAACAAUCAUCUUAUUAUAGUUUUAGAUGGAAUAUGUGAUCAACCAGUCAUGUCAACCACCCACUAGUUGACUUAACCAAUGCAGUGUGCAUUUCCUUUUAUUUUAAAAAGUCUAAAAGUUUUAUGCCAGUUCACCAAACCUCACCCAUAUGAUUUUUUUUUUUUUUAAUUUCUGGCACACACCACAAUGAGCUCAUUGUGCCCAAUGCAUCAUGGAGUUAUUAAACAGAUUGUUUUACCCAGGAAACUGAAGUCACCGUUGUCAAGGCGUUAACUGAGACUCUAUUCAUUCACAACCUACAGAGAGAUUUUGAAUCGUUGCGGCAAACUGUGUCGGGUGAAGUGGGCGUCACCAAGAGCGCUCAAGAGAAAGUCUGUGUGUGGACCUGUGACUCUACAUGAAUGACUCAAGUGAAGAAACACGCUUGAAACCACUAUUUCAAAGGAAAAAGAAGAGGAAGAGGGGACAUCUUGAACAUUCGCAGUGGAACUUGAGUGCGCAUCUGCGCAAAGUCUCUCCAAAGUCACUUGGUAACUUGUGCGCACCACUGCAGCUCCAUUCUCAAGCAGUUUUGGGGGUCACGGCGAGGAGAGACAAGAGCAGUGACUGUCGUCCAGCAGAAUGGCGUCAGACGUGGGCCGCAGCACUUGAGGUCAGCCGCUCACUCAGCGCACAGUGUUUAUUCUGCCUUCAGGUCCUCCUGGGAAGUUCCUACUUAAGAGUUCGGAAGUCAUAAUUAUGAUGUGAAGUGAUUUUGCUUGAAAUAAUACGGAUGAGUUGAGCAUAUAUUUAUGUGUGUCUUUAAGCCAGCUAAAAGAGAAUGUUCACAGAACUUGCUUAGACUGUUUUUUAUAAUAUUCCCAAAACUUUAGCACAACUUUAGCAUUUUUAGUUCCUGUGCAACAAAAUGAAGAGCGAAUGAUGCACAUUAGGUGUGAUUUUAAGCUUUAUGUAUUUUAUUACUCUUGUGCAACCGUAUAUAAUGAUUGAAAAUGUAUUUUUUUUCUUUAUCACAAAAUGUUAGAUAUACAUUAAAUCAACAUUCACAGUCUUGGUUCCAGAAGUAUUUUUCUCAUUCAUUUUCUAUAAAGGGAUUUAUCAAAAAUUAAAAAAAAGAGUUUUAAGCCAUUAAAACUUCAAAGAGCAACUAGCUUAAAGAUGGCAGAAGUUCGGAUGACGGAAGUCGGUGUAGUUUCAGUUUUUGAGGAAAUUGUCUACUCAUGAAAUAUAAUAUAAAACUCUUGACUUGCAGUCAUUUAUUGUUUAUUAUAUCAAUAUCAUAUUAAGUAUAAUACAAAUAUUAAGCAUAAUUUUAUUAAGUGUGAUAUUUUAAUAGUUUAAUUUAUUAUUUUAAUUCAUAUUUAUUUAUUUAUUUAUUUAUUUUUAUAACAUUCCAAUUGAAAUCACUGAUUUACAGCUUCUACAGAAGUGCAUCUUUUCAGAGCUCGAAAGGUUUAUAACUCUGUUGAGAAGACGAAUGGAUUGUACUUCUGGAACCCAACUGUUGCGUUCUAUAGCAAUUAGCUUCUGCUGUCAUUUUAUCACCACCAAAAAAUGUCGGGGCUCUUAUAAAAUCCCAUGUUUCUCAUUACUAAUUUCGACAUCCUGGCGAAUAUGACUGUGACGCGACUUGAAGACAGCACAGUUUAUUUAUUUUCAAGCUAAACUGCUGUGGACUUGUAAAGGCAAACAACAGAGCAGCACUGCCAGACUAGCUGAAGUAUUGUUGAUGAGUCGAUGCAGAGCCAUGUAACAUGAACACUUAUCACUGGCAAUAAAUGUUUCCCUGAAAAACACGA